rnacentral:tRNA from 1 species
UCUAAAAUGGCAGAUAGAUGCAUAGGAUUUAAGCUCCUACCAGGAAGAUUUACCUUCUUUUAGAA